rnacentral:rRNA from 1 species
CGUGUAGGCUGCUCUGCAAGUCGGGUGUGAAAGCCCUGGGCUCAACCUAGGAAGUGCACUCGAAACUGCGGAGCUGGAGUCCUGGAGAGGAAGGCGGAAUUCUCGGUGUAGAGGUGAAAUUCGUAGAUAUCGAGAGGAACACCGGUGGCGAAGGCGGCCUUCUGGACAGUGACUGACGCUGAGACGCGAAAGCGUGGGGAGCAAACA